UUCUCCAAAGCACCAGAAGGCAGGAGAAGAAACAAGGAGGUUGGCUGGAUCUGCAUACUGCCCAGGGAUAGCACGGCAGCUGGCUCAGCGCGUUUAUUGACCCAGACAAAUGCUGAAGGCUCAGGAAGCGCCGUUAUUGAGGCUGAAAUGCUCUAUGCUUUGCUAUCCCUUCAGCCCUCCUGAACGCAUUGCCUGGCACCUCUCUGCGAUGGGGACCUUUUCCACCCCAUCCCCCGCCAGAGACACCGGACCCAAAGAGGCUGAGAUGGAGGCCCUUCCCAUCCGUUGGACAGAGAACCAUCAACGGUUUCUUCAUAAAAUGUAUCUGGACAUGGUUGCAGAAGGCAAUUCCAAUAAAGGAGAAUAUUUGUAGCUCA